rnacentral:lncRNA from 1 species
GAGGAGCAGAUAUGGCAGGGGGAGGCGGGAGCCUGAUAGAGGUCAGCAGCGGUUGGGGAUAGCCGGCGGUGAAGCAGCAGCAACCGGGGAGAAGAGUGGCGAAGGGGAGGUCGACGCGACGCCCAAUAGGUGAGAGAGAAUGGGAGAGAUCCGAGCGUUCAGGGGUAUUUUCGUCAUCUCAUGGUGGGCCUAUCUUGUCGGGGGUAAAUCAUCAAGUUUUUGGCAAAGUUGUGGCAAAUCAUCAGUGUCAAAAUAAAGGAGGGCAAAUCCUCAAAGUGCAGGGAAAGGUGUGGCAAAUCCUCAAAUUCCCCUUUUUAGGGGGAAUUUGAGGAUUUGCCAUACCAAGGGGAAUUUGAGGAUUUGCCACACCUUUCCCUGCACUUUGAGGAUUUGCCCUCUUUUUUAUUGAUGUUGAUGAUUUACCACAACUUUGUCAAAAACUUGAGGAUUUGCCCUUUCUAACCGAUUUGAGAUUACACUAUAGUUUGAAUGUCCAAAAUGCCACUCUUGCCAAAACCAAUCCAAAUUAGAUGCUUACGUCUUCUCCUCUGUUCGUCCCGCAGCCGACUGCUCGAAUACCUCAUCCACCUGCCGCCCUGUGUUGUGCUGCUUGUGCUCCUCCUCUCCCCACGCUCCGGUAGCGUCGCCGAGCUGCUGCUGCUCCUGUGCGUGUGCCGGAUGUGGUGCGCGGAGGGUACCGUCGACGGUCCGAGCCCGGGGACGGUGGUGUCUGUCCAUGGUGAGCUCGGCGAGGGCACGCGAGAUAGGGGGCGAGCUCGUACUACGGCGGUUUUCUCCGUGUAUGCAACAGUAGCAGCAGCAACAGCCGGGCGCCCAGGUGCUAGAGCACGCACGCACACAACACACGCACAGAUCACGCACUCAAGCCCAGGUGCCAGAGCAUGCACGCACAAAAUGUACGUACAACAGUAACUAACACACACAAGCACGCCCAGGCACACGCACGCCUAGCACACAUCGCGCACGGCCAGGUGCUAGAGCACACAGCGCAGAUAGAGCACUCAUGCCCAGGCACACAUCCGGUGGCCACCCGCCUCGUGGCCACCCGCCUCGAGGCGUCGCCAUCUGUCCGGCUCGAGCGCGACAUGCUUUUCAAGGAGGCCGUCCAGUGGUCGCCGCUGUCCACGGCGGACCGCGAGCUCGACGGCGAUGAGGCCUGUGUUGUUGCCGAGCCUGGCUGCUCUCUUUCUCUCAGCUCACUCACGGACAGAGGUAGGAGAAAGGAGACACACUGGACACGAGGAUUUUUCCGGUCGGCGCACGAACGCCCAAAUCUUUUCCCUCUUUUCAAUGGCUACAUCACAGCAACUCCACCCUUUGGCUACAUCAAGUCUGGGGUUUUUAUACCUGCGCGUACACAUAUCCCAGCACACACACACGCACACAUCACCGGCCUGAACUCACGGCCACUAACCCAUUCACACGCAAGUACUAACUAUACCAUUAAGCUAGCUACAUGCACGGCGUCCAUAUCCAUGCGCGCAUCAGUUCCUCAACGGCCGGCCACACGACCUGGUAGCUAGCAUGCAUGCAUCUAACUAACUCCACGUAUGACCCGGCCGGCCGCUCCACUCUCAUGUCAAACAUUAUGCCUAACAAUUCUCCCUCUAAUCUUGACAUGGCUAGUCGUCGACCGUCGCCUUGACCGUCUCCGUCCGACAAUGUGACGUGCCGCCUGCUCGCCGUCAUCGGAGUUGUUGCAGCUCCUGUCAUUGUCAUCGUCACGGCCGUGACCCAGCCCGCGGACCCGAACCGACGCAUCGACGUCGGUCGCACUGCCACGGACCCGACCUGGCGCACUGACGCCGGUCGCACCGUGCUCCGUCACGACCCCGGCGACAUACGCCGAGCUCCUUCUCCGCAAGCGACACGCGCCUAGCGUCCCUCUGCCCCCCGCAUGUCCCGCGCGCACCCGACGCGCCCGACGAGCCCGACCGCACCAGUGCAUCCCGCACGUCUCGCGCGCACCCGACGAGCCCGACCGCACCAGACGCUCACCGCGCGCCGCUUCCGCGUCCGCCAUGGCAGCCGCCGGCGACAAACGCCGGAAGGAUGUAGCCGAACUCGAGCACGGACUCGAGCACAACGGCGACAUACGCCUCCUCCCAACGUCAACCGCACGCUCAUACAUGCGCCCGCGGUCCCGGCGCGCCCGACGCGUCCAGUGCGCACCCAUAACACGCAACGAUCGCGCCCGGCUCGCCGCCAUGGCUUAUUGCCCUGCACCGCUGCGGCCUCAACCGCAGCGCAGCAUCUCCAUGCCGCCAUGCCGCUGUUUGUCAUUGAAGCCGCCACCACGCAGGUCCUCCGCGGCCUCCUCACCGUGCCGCCGCAGCCACUGCAGCCUCCUCGCCACGCCGCGCACCUCCAUAGACCGACACACGGCCCGGAGCUUCACCGCGCAGCCGCCAGCGAACGCCGCCAUCGCCGGCACGCCUCCGGCAAGGGGACGACAGCCAAGAUGAACCAACUCAUGAUACCAAUUGUUGGAACCACAACCCUCUAGCUACCUCUCCUCUCACUCGAACGGAGGUGGAAGAAGAAGAACACUGGACACGAGGAUUUUUCCGGCCGGCCUCCCUCUUUUCAAUGGCUACAUCACGGCAACUCCACCGUUUGGCUACAUCAAGCCUGGGGGUUUUAUACCUGCGCGUACACAUAUCCCAGCACACACGCACGCACACAUCACCGGCCUGAACUCAUGGCCGCUAACCCAUUCACACGCAAGUACUAACUAUACCACUAAGCUAGCUACAUGCACGGCGUCCAUAUCCAUGCGCGCAUCAGUUCCUCAACGGCCGGCCACACGACCUGGUAGCUAGCAUGCAUGCAUCUAACUAACUCCACGUAUGACCCGGCCGGCCGCUCCACUCUCAUGUCAAAGAUUAUGCCUAACAGCCUGCCUGCCGGAUUGAGUCAUUAGAGUGGAUAUGUGCGUUGCCGGCAGCCGCUUCUUCCCCCGUGCGACGUGUAUGCCUGAUGAUGCUGCUCGCUGGCCUCCCGCCUCGACGAUGAGAGCGUUCCUCGCAACGUCAGUCAUGCUGCUCGCCGAGGCCGUCUGCGUGGCCACUGCAGCCUCGCGCGGCACCGGCCCGAACGGCGGUACACGAAGGUUCUGUGCCACGAGAUAGCGAGCGAGGAGCAGAUAUGGCAGGGGGAGGCGGGAGCCUGAUAGAGGUCAGCAGCGGUUGGGGAUAGCCGGCGGUGAAGCAGCAGCAACCGGGGAGAAGAGAGGCGAAGGGGAGGUCGACGCGACGCCCAAUAGGUGAGAGAGAAUGGGAGAGAUCCGAGCGUUCAAGGGUAUUUUCGUCAUCUCAUGGUGGGCCUAUCUUGUCGGGGGUAAAUCCUCAAGUUUUUGGCAAAGUUGUGGCAAAUCAUCAGUGUCAAAAUAAAGGAGGGCAAAUCCUCAAAGUGCAGGGAAAGGUGUGGCAAAUCCUCAAAUUCCCCUUUUAUAGGUGAACUUCGAGAAAAAGGUAGUAGUUUACUAAAUGACUCACAUGGGCCUGAAUCACGAUUGCUGUGCCUCUACCAGCCGUACAUGGGCAAGGCAAAGUUGACUGUUUCAUAUAGGAAGUAAAGUCACCCCUCAAAAAAAAGGAAGUAAAGUCGUGUUUCUCAAAAAACAAAAACA